rnacentral:rRNA from 1 species
UACGUAGGGUGCAAGCGUUAAUCGGAAUUACUGGGCGUAAAGCGUGCGCAGGCGGUUUGUAAGUCUGUCGUGAAAUCCCCGGCUCAACCUGGGAAUUGCGAUGGAGACUGCAAGGCUAGAAUCUGGCAGAGGGGGUAGAAUUCCGACGUGUAGCAGUGAAUGACGUAGAGAUGUGGAGGAACACCGAUGGCGAAGGCAGCCCCUGGGUCAAGAUUGACGCUCAUGCACGAAGCGUGGGAGCAACAGG